CCUACGGGAGGCUGCAGUGGGGAAUAUUGGACAAUGGGGGCAACCCUGAUCCAGCCAUGCCGCGUGUGUGAAGAAGGCCCUCGGGUUGUAAAGCACUUUCAGUGAGGAAGAACGCCUGGUGGUUAAUACCCAUCAGGAAAGACAUCACUCACAGAAGAAGCACCGGCUAACUCCGUGCCAGCAGCCGCGGUAAUACGGAGGGUGCGAGCGUUAAUCGGAAUUACUGGGCGUAAAGCGCGCGUAGGUGGCUUGAUAAGCCGGUUGUGAAAGCCCCGGGCUCAACCUGGGAACGGCAUCCGGAACUGUCAAGCUAGAGUGCAGGAGAGGAAGGUAGAAUUCCCGGUGUAGCGGUGAAAUGCGUAGAGAUCGGGAGGAAUACCAGUGGCGAAGGCGGCCUUCUGGACUGACACUGACACUGAGGUGCGAAAGCGUGGGUACCAAACAGGAUUAGAUACCCGAGUAGUC
rnacentral:rRNA from 1 species